ACGGAUACAGGACAGCAGAGACCCUCAGAAAGAAAGGGGAGGGAGGGACUAGGAGGGUGAAAACCGCGAGAGCAGGUCAGACACAAUGGGAGGUUGGACAGAGUCAGGGAGGAGGGCCAGAGGUAGCGUGGGCUGGCUGUCGGAGCUCUAUGGACAGAGCAUGUUCUAGAACUGCGGCAGCCCGGCUGGAAGAGGCCUGGGCGUGCCUGGCUGUGGCCAGUGUGGCCACCGCACCCACACCUGAGGCCCCAGAGACCCUCAGCGCUGCACCCAGAGGUGGGAUUACAACAGGUCACACGUAGCCCCCGGAACCUCAGGGAAAUGGAGCAGUGAGAAACAACCUUGCUGGGGCAGAAAAAAGCCUUGGAGAGGUAGGGAGCCAUGUCAGGGGGAAAAAGGCAGACAGGAGCAGAGAAGGAGGACUGGAAAGUAAUAUUUAUUUGGCACAGGGGUGCCAGGUGUCGGCGGGGCCCUCGCUUAAUCCUCAUAGGCAUCCUGACAGACAAGGCCACAGCUCUGGGAGGUGGGCAACACGGUGAAGACGGGGGCCAGUGUCGGAGCCGCCCCUGGAACUCGGGGUCACUGCUCAGCUCCCCAUGGCUUCCGUCCCUCCCAUGGUCCUGCCCCUGCCCCUGGCCGACCCUGCAUUCUACCACAGCUUGAAGCCUUCGCCCUCACACUGGUGGCCUGCCUUCCCAGAGGAAGGGCCAAGCAGGGGCAUGGCUGGGAACCCGAGUCCUGAGGGCCACAUUUCUCGAGGA